rnacentral:rRNA from 1 species
UACAGAGGGUGCAAGCGUUAAUCGGAUUUACUGGGCGUAAAGCGCGCGUAGGCGGUUUUUUAAGUCAGAUGUGAAAGCCCCGGGCUCAACCUGGGAAUUGCAUUUGAAACUGGGAAACUAGAGUGUGUGAGAGGGGGGUAGAAUUCCAAGUGUAGCGGUGAAAUGCGUAGAGAUUUGGAGGAAUACCAGUGGCGAAGGCGGCCCCCUGGCACAACACUGACGCUCAGGUGCGAAAGCGUGGGGAGCAAACAGG